AUGCCAGCAUACCGAACUCUCUUUUCGCUUUUAAGGCUCGGGUACCUCGCAUGGGAAUCAUCAGUUUGUUCCAGUUUUGGAGUCCCACCAUCAGCAGGUUGCUUUACAAGGGGCUCUGUAGGUUUUUCAAUCAGAUCAGGAGUUCGAUCAUGCAACAAACCAUUGGCAGUUUCAGAUGACUUUGGGACGUCUCUCUCUUCUCUUUUGAGGCUCAGGUACCUCCCAUGGAAAUCAUCAGUUUGUUCCAGUUCAGCAGGUUGCUUUACAAGGGGCUCUGUAGGUUUUUCAAUCGGAUCGGGAGUUCGAUCACGCAACAAACCAUUGGCAGUUUCAGAUGAUUUUGGGACAUCUCUCUCUUUUCUUUUGAGGCUCGGGUACCUCCCAUCGAAAUCAUCAAUUUGUUCCAGUUUUGUAGUCCCACCAUCAGUAGGUGGCUUUACAAGGGGCUCUGUAGGUUUUUCAACCGGAUCAGGAGUUUGA
rnacentral:rRNA from 1 species